AACCAUAGCGGCGCGCGUGAGUCGGCGGGCUAGUAACCAUAGCGGCGGGCGUGGGGCGGAGCGUGGCUCGCUAGUUCCCUGCGUGCCCUCCUGGGAGCUGGGUGCCGUGAGUCCUCUCCAGCGGGCUGCUCUCGGCGCGGAAUCCGAGCUGCUGCUCUGGGGCGUGUGCCUAGGGCUCGGGGCAGGAGCGCGGGUGCUGCGCGGGUGCUCCGCGGGUGCUCGCGGCUCCGCUGAGGUCUCUAUGAAAGGGGGCGAUUUGAGGGUUCCGCCGUGACCGCUCCCAACGGCGGAGACGCGCGCUCUGGACCAGAGCCGUUGCCCGCUGUCUCGUCACCCCAAGCCGCCUCCUGACGCCGUGCCGGUGCGAGGGUCUCCAGGGGAAUUCGGGGCACAAAUCGGGCCCGAGCGUCCGGGCUGCCGUGGCACCAAGGCGCAGGAUCGGCGCUUUGAGAACUGAGCGCCUGUGGAGUUCGGAGGAAAAGGACGCAGAUUGAAGAUGGAAAAUCCCCAGGACAUUUUCUCAAGUAAUGGUGGCUGUCUAAGUGAGACAGUUAUAGAAAAAUACCUGGUUGAAUCCAAGGAGUCUGUGUCUCAUGUUCAGCUUGCUUGUAGCAUGCAGGACUGUGCUUUCCCUUUGGAUGGGACUGAACUUUGUAUAUGGAACACGAAGAGUCCUUCUCAUCAGCUUCUAAUCUUACGAGGACACCAUCAGCCAAUUACUGCUAUAGCUUUUGGAAAUAAAGUGAACCCACUUCUAAUCUGCUCAGCAUCGCUGGAUUAUGUUAUAAUGUGGAACCUGGAUGAAUGUAGAGAGAAAGUACUUCAAGGGCUGGUCCCUCGAGGGACUGUCGUGGGCUCGCUUUUGGGAAAGGUGCUGUGUUUACAGUUGAGCCCGGAUGAUCAUGUUGUUGCCGUAUGUGCUGGAAACAAAGUAUUCACACUGGAUAUUGAGACUCAGGCUAUCCGGGCCGAGCUGCAGGGCCACCUGGGCCCGGUGACUGCGGUGGAGUUCUGUCCCUGGCAAGCAGGCACCCUCAUCUCGGUGUCCGAGGACAGAGGCUUUAAGGUCUGGGACCAUUGUACGGGAUCAUUAAUAUACAGUUCAUCUGUGUUAUCAGCAUAUCCUCUUCUCAGCUUGUUCAUCGAUGCAGAAAGCAGGCAGCUGGUCACUGGGUGUGCUGACGGCCAGCUUUGGAUCUUCAGUUUGAUGGAUGAACACCACUAUCGUCGUGUGGCACGGGUUGACCUAAGGAAGAAGACAGAGACUUUCUCCACGAGAAGGCUGAAGUCUGGGCUGUGCAGUCGGCCAGAAGAAAGCCAGCUUCCCUCUACAAGUGUUCUGGGAGAAGGAGAGCAGGUUGAAGUAACGUUUCCUGUACUGAGACUCGCACCCUGCCAUGUGUCACUCGUCCCAAAUUCUGCAUGUGGAUGUCUUUCUUCUGAGAACACCCAAUGCAUAUGGAUUGGAAGUUCGGUGGGCUUAUUCAUAUUUAACCUGGCAAACCUGGAAGUGGAAGCUGCUUUAUAUUACAGGGACUUCCAGAGCCUCAGCAUCCCACUGGCCGGAUCGUGUGCCCUGAGGAACCGCACCGCGGAUCGCAAGACGCUGUGCUUGCUAGCCUCCCUCUUUGGCGGGAAGAUUGCCGUGUUGGAGAUCGACCCGGCCGCGCUGGUCAGGGCUCAGCAGUGCCCCGGCCUGAGGCAGAGCCUCUCGGUGCCAGCCAGCUCCUGUGUCCUGCCAGCCUCUCCACUGUAUCUGGGAAUUGCCAAGGAGAAGAGCACCAAGGCUGCUAGUGAACGGCGAUGUGCUGCACAGAGCGUCAUGAAGGACCAGCGCCUGGUUUUCCACAGUAAGGUCAGAUCAUCUGGUUAUGCGUCAGCACCACAUGUGACUAUGUUUUCACCAAAGACCAACAUCAAGAGUGAGGGGAAAGGAUCUUCAAGACGCAGGAGCAGCUGUGCACGGGAGCCGUACCCCAUGGAGUGCGCUGUGCCCACCAAGCCUGGCCCCCAGGUUGCCGCCGCCCCCACCUGCACACGCGUGUGCUGCCUCCAGUACUCAGGAGAUGGGCAGUGGCUGGCCUGUGGGUUGUCUAACCAUCUAUCGCUCGUUUUUGGUGCCAGCCUGACUGGGACACCUGCUGUGUUUUCAGGUCACGACGGGGCGGUGAACACCGUGUGCUGGAGCCAGGACCGGAGGUGGCUGCUCUCUGCAGCCCAGGAUGGGACCCUGCGGGUGUGGUCAGCUCGUGGGGCAGAGCUGGCACUGCUUCUGGGCAGAGACAUGUUUUCUAAACCGAUACAGUCUGCACAGUUUUAUUAUAUAGAUUCCUUUAUAUUGUUGUCUUCUGGUCCUGAAUUUCAGCUACUGAAGUAUCACAUUGACACUUGCAAAGAUGAGAUGAAGAGAUAUAAACAGAAGAGCAAGUCCAAGCUGAUUUGCAGGCUCUCCACGACGGGUGCAGUAGACAUGACCAGUCUAUCAGCAGUCAACGACUUUUAUUCCCACAUCGUUCUCGCAGCUGGCCGGAACAGGACUGUGGAAGUGUUCGACCUCAACGCCGGCUGCAGUGCAGCGGUGAUAGCAGAAGCCCACUCGCGGCCUGUCCAUCAAAUCUGCCAAAAUAAAGGUUCAUCGUUUACAACCCAACAGCCUCAGGCUUAUAACCUCUUCCUGACCACGGCCAUUGGUGAUGGGAUGAGACUGUGGGACCUGAGAACCCUGAGGUGUGAGCGCCACUUUGAAGGGCAUCCAUCCCGCGGCUAUCCAUGUGGAAUUGCUUUCAGUCCUUGUGGGCGAUUCGCGGCUUGUGGGGCCGAGGACAGACACGCUUACGUGUAUGAAAUGGGCUCGAGCACGUUUUCUCACCGGCUGGCUGGGCACACAGACACCGUCACUGGAGUGGCCUUCAACCCAUCCACGCCCCAGCUCGCCACAGCUACCUUGGAUGGUAAACUCCAGCUCUUUCUAGCUGAGUAAUCACUGACCUGUGAGCUGGGCCCAGGAAUGCUACUAGGAACAACUUAAAAAUUCAGACUUUGUGGUAUUCCUCGGGAAUUCCCUGGAGUUUGUACAAAAUCUUUGCGUAUAUCAUCCUUUACCUUAGGCGAAAACCUUUGAAGUCAACUAUUUCAAGGACUGGGAAUACAGAAGAGAGGCUCUCUGAAGACAAACCUGUGGGUCAUGAUUUCCCACUCCCCCAGCUCCGGCUGCAGGCAGCUCAGCACCAGGUCAGCUACUCUGUGCCGAACUGAAGGGAGCUGAGCGCUGACCCCCUCCAUCUGGGUUGGAACUCAGGUCAUCCUGCCUCAGGUACAAGAAGUAACCAGUUCUUUGGUCUUCAGACUCCAUUUCACUGGGUAAGUGACAUUCCUUCUGCGCCAGAGCUCAGGUCGUCCUACCUCACAUAUAAGAAGUAACCAGUUCUUUGGCCUUCAGACUCUGUGUUUCACUGGGUAAGUGACAGAGCCCUUUCUUUAAGUGUCGCACCUCAUUGCGGAGCCCAUGUGAACACCAAUCAUGGGCUGGGGCAGCCAGUUCUGUUGCAGAGGAAAGGGGGCCUCCAGGGUCCUGCCAUCCCCCCACCCCACCCAGCCCAACCUGCAAAGAAUCGGUCAGGACUCAGGCGUCCAGGCGUCACCGGCUAUUGCCGGAUUCCAUGAGAAGCCCCGGGAGCUGGGAGCACCGCCUCAGUCUGCAGCUGCAGGCAGGGAUGUCACUGCCAGACCUCCGCUGUGAUGGGAGGGACUGCAGAGCGCAGGUGCAGUGCUGGCGGCUGAAGCAGGGCGGGCCCAGAGGAGCUCUCAGGUGCAUUUCAUGGUUUCCUUCACCCCUUAACUUUCAGAAGGGACUGACUGGAACGCUCCACAGCAAUGACUAAUCUUGUUUUUAUAUUUUCAUUUGUAAUAAUAGCUAACGUUCAGAGUGCUUGCUGGGUAACAGCCACUGUCUACACAUUAACUCAUGCCGUUCUCCUAACACCACCACAAUGUAGGACCUACAAUUAAUCCCGUUUUACAGCUGGGAAAACAGGGGCAGAAGGUGGCAUUUAUGGCCUGGUUGCUAGUGGUGGAAGUGGGAAUUACACUGGAGACCCUACACCUCCACCGUCCAGGCUCAUGAUCACCACCUGCGGUGGAGACCCCAGGAAAUCUCCUCUGGGCAUUUAUUAGGGAUUUUCCAGCAGCACAGAGGACUCCCCAUAGUCUCAGUGAAAGUAGGCAGGGCUUUAAACGUAUUCAGGAUCAACACAAAACCAGCAAAUUAGAAGACUUAGGAACUAGAACCCAAGCCAUCAUCUGCACAUGUGGCAAUUCUUAUGAUAGCAUCAUGCUUUUGCUUUUCCUACGGUGAGUUUGGUGUUUUUACUCACCUCAGCUCAGUGGGCUGGGACCGUGGCAGGCCAGCCAUCGUUAUUGCCUGUAUUUGGAGGUGAUAAGGACUGGACACGCGAAUCCCAUCCUGUGUGCCAGACACUCUUCUAAACUCUUUACCUGUUUGAACAGACUCAAUCCUCACCUUGAACUUACCAGGUAAGGGAUGCUAUUGUCCUCAUUCUGCAGAGGAGGACACAAGAGAACAUGCCUGAUUCCUGCGUGCACAGAGGGCUGUGCAGCCUCUGGCCAAAGGGCAGCCCAGGAUGGGGCUACUUGACCUAAGAACGCUGACACCGUUUGCCUCAGACCCUGGGAAUGACAGAGGCCCCUGUCCAGGGCUGUCUCCACCUGUAUAUACACUUCCUUCACUUGGAUUUACUUGGAUUUUGCCUCUAGCAGGAUCUGGUUGUUUCUGAAGCUGUGAAAUCUAAACUGAUGCAAAAAAACAAAACAAACAAACAAACAAACAAAAACCAAAAACAAAAAAAACCUGGUCUACUAUCUCUUGAGGAUUGGCUUAUAAGUCAACCUCUAAAGUGAAGGUGCCAAUCACUGGCUUAGGUCUCUGGAGCUGUUGCUUGAAAAGGAGGCAGCUGUGGUUGGCCUCGGACAUGUGGCCCUGCCGGCUCUGGCCAGCCAUGAUGAAGCUGGGGCAGCAGGGACUCUUGGAAAUGCUUCUUGAGUUGCAUCAAAGGAUCCCAAAGAGGUCAGUCUCACACUUGAGUGCUGCUGAAGUCAUCUGACACGGGGCCCUAUGAUGAAUGCCCUUGGCAGCAGACACGGGCUAAUGAGAGACAAACACGCUACACAGUCUAGAGCCAAACACAUUCUUUUUAGAGGAGACCAUCAUUUGAUGAUGCAUGAAUAGGGCAGUUAUUUGGAUCCUGGGAAGUAGAGGGUGGGCAGGUGAUGGAGUAGGUGGCAGACUCACCACCAAGCCAGGAGCACGUGAAGUUUGUGAGGGAGUUAGACAAAGGAUAUGGGCAACUAGGGAUCUGUCGGAGCACUUGUGCUUUUGGGGAUGGAAUCACGACCAUUUGCAAAACCAUCUGGACACGUGACUGGGAGUCUCAAGCACUUCAGCCCCAGACCUGGGGAUAGAGCCAGCGUUGGCAUCCAGCGUCUGAUCACAUUGACUGCAACCUGCUCAGCUGAAGGAGGGGCUAUGGCAAGGAGCUCAUGUCUAUGCUGCCAUGUUCCUUUUAUAAAUGAUGAAAUCGACAUCCUUACAUGCCUUGCUGGAGGUGGCAAUGCCAGGUUGGAAGCCCAGGCCUGAAUGACACUGAGGCCACCUCUUUUUUGGACCUCUUGGGAGGCUUUGUGGACUCAAAGAAGGAAAAGUUCUUAGCAUACAUGAAGUCUUCUAUUGGAGGUAGGUGCCUGUCUGUGCUGUGAGGACCCAAGAGCUGCUAGGAACCACCUUCAUAUGCAUGUCCUUGGUGGCUGAGCGAUGACAUCAGGCCUGAGCUCCCUGCCUCUGGAGCAUCUGUCCUGAGUUCUGUGGCUCCUCCUCAGCCUAUGUGUGUCGUCUGGGUCCCUUGCAGGAUUGCUGGCUUAGCUCUAGUAUUUCCGUUCUUACUGCUAUGGACAGGACCUCUGGCAUGGACUUUCUGUUGGUCAGCAGGGCCAGAGCACCCAGCCUUCCAGACAUCUCUAAAUCUUUCCAUCUUACAGAUAUCCAAAAGUAAAAUGUACACACAGCACCACUGAUGUGUACCCCACAUGCAAAUUUCCAUGUUACUAUAAAAUAGUAUUUUAAAAUAGAUUAGAAAAGAUGCCUAUCAAAGCCAAUGGAACCAUUCUCUUAAAUAUUAAGGUGAACCAUUGCUAUCAAAGUUUGUGUUUCAAAUGAAUAACAGGAAAGUUAAACAAUCUCCUAGUUCCAAGUACUAGGGGAGGUGAGGGUCCUGCUGAGCUUGGGUGAUGGCACAUGUUGCUGUCCACACAUCCAUUCUGUCGCUGACGUGGCAGGGGAGACUGGAGGAUAUGGAGGCCAGGUCUGGCUUCAAUCUGCAUGAACCAUUUAAACCUCAUGAAAAUAUUUCCUGUGUUCUCAACUUCAACCCACUUUCCUUACAUGUUUUGUGUCAUAGGUCUUCACUCAGACAUAGGUAAUUCUUUCUUUAAAUGCUCAUCACAUUUUCUUUUGGAACCUGGUCUCCUCUCAUUGCCACUGGUAGUCUGUGACUGUUGGCUCCGCAGAGUUGUAUAAGUUGUUAGAGUUUUUUGGUUGCAAGCCAUAGAAAAUAACUGUGGCAUGCUUAAGAGCAUUGGGAAUGUGUGGGGGUGGUGAUGGCCUGCAGAAUCCCCAGGCAGCAGGAGCAGGUGCAGGCUCAGAUACAGGCUCAGUCGUCCUGCAUCCAUCAGAACAGGAUAACUCCAAGGCCACGUGGCUGGAUAGGCGCUCCACGGAGCUUCCCACCUAUUCUCACUCCAGACUCCAAGCUGUGGUCCCACUGAGUUAUGUGCCCACUCCUGGGUCAGGGAAAGGCAGGAGACCACAGGGGACAGAGCCAGAGCCACCACUACCACCUCAUGAGAAGGGGAAUUCUUGAAGGGGAGUCAAGGUAUUUCUAGAAAAAAGAAUGAUUGUUUGUGGAGGGUGAAAACAUGAUAUAAUAUUUUGCUAAAAUUAGAAGAUCUUAAGGAAACAAGGAGAUAAAAAUAUAAAGUUUUACCUUUUACCUGUAAAACAAAAUAAAAAACAAGCAUGAAAAGGAAGGUUCCAUAUCUCUCAUGAUUCUAGAUACUGGGUGUCUAUUUUAUAAGAAUUCUUUCAGACAUAAAACAUUAACAGGCAUGUGUAAAUAUGGUUUAUUGUUUCCAGUAAUCUUGGCAGUUACUUGAGUCUAAAUUAUUUGCCUCAGGAGAGCAUAUUGUGAGGGCAAUAAAGGGAGCCUUUUGAAUUCUAUUGGUAAAGAUGUGAUUAACACCAUUAAGAAGGGAGGAAAAGACUUUCUGUUCCAAACACAACACUGAGAAAACAGAGAUGAGGAUCCAUUUAAUUCUUGCUGCCUGAGUGUUUCUAGCAGAUGACCCUGGCCCAUGGGGCAGGGCAGGGCUGAACUUUUCAAUUCUAGGAUGACUUUUCUUAUCACUGCCAAUGGCCAUCACAAGUCAGGGGAAAUAUUUUACUUUUUUGACUGAAUGUCACAGUUAUGUAUAUAGAUAAACAUAAAAAUAGAACCUAUGUGAUGGUUUUCCCAAAGCCAUCUUCUCUUUUUCAAAAAUAUUUUGCUUCUGAGGUGGCAUAUGAGUAUCGUCAAAGUCAAAUAAAAAUAUACACAUGAAUCUCUAAAUAAAAUGUUUUAUUUUGGAGAACAGACUUUGGCUUGAGGUGUACACACAGACUGGGUCGUCUUCAGUAUGUCCACAGAAGAAAGAAGGUUAAGGGUCUUAUUAGAAAGAGAAAUGUUAUGUAUUGUUGUGAAAGAAAACUCAUUGGCACUGGUGAAGUUUUGGGGAGCUGGCAAACUCUGAUUGGUGAGUGAUGAGAGUGGGUAACACUAGUCUUGGAGUCACAGGAGUUUGUUUCAGCAGCUCCUGCGUAAAAGUGGCCUUAAGGUUGCAGCAAGUGACCUGGCAGCUGGCUGGUGAGAUUGUCCCUGGGUAACUGACAUUGCAGCUUGUUGAUAGUGUCCCUGGACAAGUGAGCUGGCAGCUGGUGGGUGGUGUCGUCCCUGGGCAAGGGACCUGGCAGCUGGCUGGUGAGAUUGUCCCUGGGCAGGUGACCUGUGCCUCAGUGCUGCCCACCUGCCACUGGUCUCCUGACUCUAAUCUAGUUGGGUGGACAAGUUAACUUCAGUUCACAUCAUUAAUUCUCACAUUUCCCCCUUUUGAUCAAGAUCUUUUUCUGAAAAUCUCACCGGUCCACUGUCUUGAAAUUAGGUUUAAUUGCCUUUUGGUGCUUAGUUGGACCUGUCUUGGUGGUCUCUAGUCCCCCAUCAGGGGGAAGUAAGGUAAUCAACAUCAGGGACCCAGGCCACAUUUGAGCAACAAAGGUGCCAGAAAGAAAAACAGAAUGAACAACCAAGACCUUUCUUAGGGCAGGUUUGCCUGGAGUUUAGCAUCAAGUUCUAUCUUAUUCGUCUCUUAGGUAUUGGCAGUAAUCUCAAAGUAUUUGGCUAACAUUAUCCCAUUGAGAUAACUAAUUUUACAAAGAUUAGACAAAACACAAGAACAGAGCUUAAAUAUCAAGAACAAAAUACAAAAAAAAAAAAAAAAAAAAAA